CGGCAGAGGAUUCUGCACUUCACAAAGCCACAGAACAAACCAGCCAAACGAUGUGUAAACAGACUCAGAGGGGCUGAGGGCUUGAUCCUGUAACACAAAGUAGAUCCAAAAAGAUUUCUGAAACUGUGAUAGCCAUACAUCUAUAGGGAAUCUGACUCUGGAAAGCCAGAUGCUCAUUAUCAACUCAAUAAUGGAGCUAGUCAUGGGAAGCUGUACUGGCAUGGACUGCUAUCUACCUCACUGGUACUAUAAUACGCCAAAAAAGAAAGAGGAGGAAGAUGACAGGUUGAUGAACAGCAUCUUGGAAGACUGUUAUUAAUAAUCCCACACAUGAAUAUUGAAUGGGAUCAUAUUUGGAUAUUGCAGUGCAUUAAUCACUAAUGUUAUUACAGCGGAGCAUUAGCAGCACCAGAAUUUUGCAUUAAACAGGGCUUGUGUUAUAUGUUAGUUUUAUUCUGGCUUAAAAAAUUUUUUUGGAGAUAAGCAAUCAAAAUUGUAAAUAUUCUUUCCUAAACUACAUUUGAGUGUCAAAUUCAGAGAUUCCAAAGAUAUAGUUUAAAACAUUUUUUUUUUCAUAUUUCAGAAUAGGAUGUCACCUUUUCUGGAACACUUAUAGAAGACAGUCAUGAAAAUUCCACAGAAAUUAAGAUUUAUUCUCUGAGUAAAUAAUUUUGCUGGGAAAAAGACACACAAACAAAAUGUAUGUUCAGAUACAUAUAGUAUUAGAUACUUUGCUUUCUCAGUGUAAUGAACCAGGGUCGCAAAACUCCAAGGAUCCCAAAGCCCUCAGCAGGGAUCAAAUCUAAAACCUUCAGCACCAAAAACUCAGGUCUCUACCACUGGAGCUCAUUUAGCAUUGAGACAGCACAUGUCUCUGGUGGCAGACCCAAAUGACUAUAAUAGCCUGCUACUUCAUUUACAACUAAAGGAGCUCAAAUAGUCAGGUGCUUGUACUUUUGAUGCUUAAGACCCUAAAUUCAAUCCCCAGUGAUGACUAUGGGUCAUUACAAUUAGUUAUCUCAAAAAUAUUAUUCUCCAAAGU
rnacentral:lncRNA from 1 species